UAAAAUGGAAUAUAAUUUAUAGUUACUUUUCAAAGCGUGUCUGAAAUACAAAAAAAAUCCCUCUUACAUUCUUUUUCAUGUCUGAAAAAUGAAUGAGAAAAACCAGACACUGACGUAAAGUCUUAAAAUUUGAAACAUAACAAUUAUGCGUGCUAUACAUGCAACCAUCUGAGAUGAGUCAAAAGAUGCCAGUAGAUGUCUCAGUCAAUAUCAGGUGAGCACUUUCCUUUGAACCUGCUGAGGCUCUUCAGGAGGAACUGGAAUAAACUUGCCUCAUUCUGCUUUAUGUUCUCUGAAGCCUGUCUUUUGGUUGGCUUUGAGCUUUCACAGGGCAUGCUGAAUUUGCCUUGAGAGCACUGAGAUUCUUGACUUCGUUUUUCUGACGUGGUACAUCCCUGAACUUUUUGACAUGGCUUAAUAGAGAUGUAAAAUCCUAAAUGCAAAGUACAAAAACGUCAGUAAUGUCAGACUGAGCUCGUGUGAGAAUAAACCGAGUAACUGCCUCUCCAACCUUCUUCGUCUUCCACUGAAGCACCACUCCUGGAUUACAAAAAAGGGAUUAUGAAGCAAGACAUUUUGGCUCCUACCCACAAGCUACUCUGUCACAAGCAGCUGUGUUAAUACUUUGACCUGCAGUAAAAUGGCUGAAUGUCUUUA